UACGUAGGGGGCAAGCGUUGUCCGGAAUCAUUGGGCGUAAAGAGCGUGUAGGCGGUUCGGUAAGUCUGCUGUGAAAGUCCAGGGCUCAACCCUGGGAUGCCGGUGGAUACUGUCGGACUAGAGUACGGAAGAGGCGAGUGGAAUUCCCGGUGUAGCGGUGAAAUGCGCAGAUAUCGGGAAGAACACCCGUGGCGAAGGCGGCUACUCUGGGACGGUACUGACGCUGAGACGCGAAAGCGUGGGGAGCGAACAGG
rnacentral:rRNA from 1 species